AGAGUUUGAUCCUGGCUCAGGCGAACGCUGGCGGCGUGCCUAAUACAUGCAAGUAGAACGCUGAAGACUUUAGCUUGCUAAAGUUGGAAGAGUUGCGAACGGGUGAGUAACGCGUAGGUAACCUGCCUACUAGCGGGGGAUAACUAUUGGAAACGAUAGCUAAUACCGCAUAACAGCAUUUAACACAUGUUAGAUGCUUGAAAGGAGCAAUUGCUUCACUAGUAGAUGGACCUGCGUUGUAUUAGCUAGUUGGUGAGGUAACGGCUCACCAAGGCGACGAUACAUAGCCGACCUGAGAGGGUGAUCGGCCACACUGGGACUGAGACACGGCCCAGACUCUACGGGAGGCAGCAGUAGGGAAUCUUCGGCAAUGGGGGCAACCCUGACCGAGCAACGCCGCGUGAGUGAAGAAGGUUUUCGGAUCGUAAAGCUCUGUUGUAAGAGAAGAACGUGUGUGAGAGUGGAAAGUUCACACAGUGACGGUAACUUACCAGAAAGGGACGGCUAACUACGUGCCAGCAGCCGCGGUAAU
rnacentral:rRNA from 1 species